rnacentral:tRNA from 1 species
GAAAAAUUAGUUUAAAUAAAACAUUACUUUGUCAAAGUAAAAUUGUAAAUUUACAUUUUUCU